CAAACCCAGGAACCGUGAGAUCAUGACUUGAGCCGAAGCCGGACGCCAAACCGACUGAGCCACCCAGGUGUCCCGUGGCUAUGUCUUAAGGUUGUGAGGACUGCAGUGGGAUUGAUUGAAGCCAUCUUGUCAAUUCAGAUGAAGGGAUAGGCCCUGGAGCUCUGGUCUGCCGCGCCGCCCGCUGGCCCAGCCAAGGAACCGGAGUCUUCCUGCCUUGGAUUUCGUACUGGAGAAAGUGACAGUGUACAAUAUAACGGGACACCAACAUGGAAGGCUGGACUAAAAUAAAAACCAUGAGGACCUCUAUCGUUUAACUAUGGGAGAAUUGCCAGAGGUGCGAGUUACUGCUAAAGACCUUGUAAUGCUGUGCGAGUCUGACCUUCACGUGGUUCUCACAAUCUGGCUCCUACUGUUAUCUCUUUGCUUGAUAAUGAGGAGCUAGCUGUGAUUUUAUAGUUUAUAAUAAACAUAUAUUUGGUCUUUC